rnacentral:lncRNA from 1 species
GCUGCCUCGCCCUCCGUGAGGCAGCACAUUUCUGGCAAGGAUUUGACAGAAGCCUGGGAGCAUGACAAAGAUUUGAUUGAUUCUGCAGCACACUGCAUAGACUGAGACUUUUUGAUGUCGUGUUAAACUUGAGAUUGUCUGGCUUUCAAGAACGUUCCUCUCCCAGUUUGCCUGGCCCGUGAAUUUUAGGCAGCGUAUCUGUAGUUCACAUUCCCUGCGCCAGUCCUUGAACACAGACUUCUGAGAGACGUUUUAAAAAUACGACACUUUCAUUGGGUUCUCAGAGGACACGCAGGAGGAAAUGUCUCUGGAGGAUCUGACCUCCCUUCCUCUGGAGGCGCCUCUCAGAAAUGUCACAGUAGAGCACGACUGGCAUUGUCCCCCCAGAAGCACAGAGGGCCAGCUGGGAACAUUUAGAAUGCUGAGCAAUGAUAACUGUGAAAUUAUGAGCAGAUUGUCUGCUCUCUUCUUUCUGCAUCCACCUCUUCAUAGCCAUGACCAAAUGUUCCAUGAAGAACUUCUGCAAUCCUGCAAGGAGGUCAGAAGGGGCCAGGGGGGAAUUGCAGAAAGCUGCCAAGCACCUGAUGAAGUGAAACCAGAGCGUCUGAGAAUUGACAUCCUUGAGCCAGUGACGGACAGGAAUGAACAUGCCCAAGAGAAUCCGACGCCCUUGAACCCCAGGAUGCCAAGCGGAUAG